rnacentral:rRNA from 1 species
UACGUAGGCAGCGAGCGUUGUUCGGAAUUACUGGGCGUAAAGAGUGCGUAGGUGGUGCCCUAAGUCUGUUGUGAAAUCUCCCGGCUUAACUGGGAGGGUGCGGUGGAAACUGGGGUGCUUGAGUGUGGGAGAGGUAAGCGGAAUUCCUGGUGUAGCGGUGAAAUGCGUAGAUAUCAGGAGGAACACCGGUGGUGUAGACGGCUUACUGGACCACGACUGACACUGAGGCACGAAAGCGUGGGUAGCAAACAGG